rfam:Schistosoma mansoni strain Puerto Rico chromosome 2, complete genome
GCACUGCUGAGGAGUCCCAUAAUAGGACGAAACGGCUGUCUAGUGC